UUAGUCUUAUAAUUGAAGACUGGGAUGAAAGGAUAAACUAGAAAGCCUCUUUUUUAACUAUUCUUUUUAAACUUUACUUUUUAGUAAAAAGGCUAAAAUGUGUCUUUCAGACAAGAAGACCCUAUAAAACUUUACAUAUAACAAUUUAAAAAAUUAGAAAUAUGUUUUACUGGGGCGGUAAGAGGAUAAAACACCUUAAAAACAUCAAAGAUAAUAUAAUUUUAAGACCCAAAACUUUUGAAAAUUAAAUAAGCUACUUUAGGGAUAACAGCGUAAUAUGUUUUGAAAGCUCAAAUUGACAAACGUGUUUGCGACCUCGAUGUUGGAUUAACUCUCCUUUACUGUGCAAGAGCAG
rnacentral:rRNA from 1 species